CCUACGGGAGGCAGCAGUGAGGAAUAUUGGUCAAUGGACGCGAGCCUGAACCAGCCAAGUCGCGUGAGGGAAGACGGUCCUAUGGAUUGUAAACCUCUUUUGUCGAGGAGCACAAGACGCCUCGCGUGGCGUUCCGAGAGUACCCUACGUAAAAGCAUCGGCUAACACCGCUCCAGCAGCCGCGGUAAUAUGGAGGAUGCGUGCGUUACCCGGAUUUAUGGGGUUUAAGGGGUGCGCAGGCGUAAGAUCAAGUCAGCGGUAAAAUUGAGAGGCUCAACCGCAUCGAGCCGUUGAAACUGGUUGUCUUGAGUGAGUGAGAGGUAUGCGGAAUGCGAGGUGUAGCGGUGAAAUGCAUAGAUAUCACGCAGAACUCCGAUUGCGAAGGCAGCAUACCGGCGCUCAACUGACGCUCAUGCACGAAAGUGUGGGUAUCGAACAGGAUUAGAUACCCGUGUAGUC
rnacentral:rRNA from 1 species